UACGUAGGGUCCGUGCGUUGUCCGGAAUUACUGGGCGUAAAGAGCUCGUAGGUGGUUUGUCGCGUUGUUCGUGAAAACUCACAGCUCAACUGUGGGCGUGCGGGCGAUACGGGCAGACUUGAGUACUGCAGGGGAGACUGGAAUUCCUGGUGUAGCGGUGGAAUGCGCAGAUAUCAGGAGGAACACCGGUGGCGAAGGCGGGUCUCUGGGCAGUAACUGACGCUGAGGAGCGAAAGCGUGGGGAGCGAACAGG
rnacentral:rRNA from 1 species